GACCUCAAAUUAGGCAAGAUGACCCGCUGAAUUUAAGCAUAUAACUAAGCGGAGGAAAAGAAACUAACCAGGAUUCCCUCAGUAACGGCGAGUGAAGCGGGAAAAGCUCAACAUGAAAACCUGGGAGCCUCGCUCUCCGGAUUGUAUUCUCUAGAGGCGUGUUCAGUGGCCGCUCGCGUAUAAAUCCUUUGGAAAAGGGUGUCAUAGAGGGUGAGAUCCCCGUAUGUGACGCGAUGUGGGCUGCGUUACGACGCGUUUUCGGCGAGUCGGGUUGCUUGAGAUCGCAGCCCUAAUUGGGUGGUAAACUCCAUCUAAAGCUAAAUACUGACAAGAGACCGAUAGCAAACAAGUACUGUGAAGGAAAGAUGCAAAGAACUUUGAAAAGAGAGUUAAAAAGUACCUGAACUUGUUGGGGGGAAAGCGUUUGCCUCCAGUGUG
rnacentral:rRNA from 11 species